rnacentral:rRNA from 1 species
CCUACGGGUGGCAGCAGUGGGGAAUAUUGCACAAUGGGGGAAACCCUGAUGCAGCGACGCCGCGUGAGUGAAGAAGUAUUUCGGUAUGUAAAGCUCUAUCAGCAGGGAAGAAAAUGACGGUACCUGACUAAGAAGCCCCGGCUAACUACGUGCCAGCAGCCGAGGUAAUCCGGAAGGGCCAAGCGUUAUCCGGAUUUCCUGGGUGUAAAGGGAGCGUAGGCGGCAGGACAAGUCUGGAGUGAAAUGCCGGGGCUUAACCCCGGCACUGCUUUGGAAACUGUGCAGCUAGAGUGCAGGAGAGGUAAGUGGAAUUCCUAGUGUAGCGGUGAAAUGCGUAGAUAUUAGGAGGAACACCAGUGGCGAAGGCGGCUUACGGGACUGUAACUGACGUUGAGGCUCGAAAGCGUGGGGAGCAAACAGGAUUAGAUACCCGAGUAGUC